rnacentral:ribozyme from 1 species
CUUGUUUCCUUCAUUUUUUGUAAUUUUUUUUUUCUUCGAUUUUUUUUUUUUUUGGUAUGGCGGUGCCAAAACGUGCAGAAUGAAUGAAUGACGCGUAAGUAAAAACAAAUUUUGAGUUCUGGAAUUUUUUUUUUGCUUUGUAUAAUACUUGGAUUCAUCACACAAAAA